GAUCAUGGCUCAGGAUGAACGCUAGCGACAGGCUUAACACAUGCAAGUCGAGGGGCAGCACAGGGUAGCAAUACUUGGGUGGCGACCGGCGCACGGGGUGAGUAACGCGUAUGCAACUUACCUAUCAGAGGGGGGAUAGCCCGGCGAAAGUCGGAUUAAUACCCCAUGAAACAGGGGUCCCGGCAUGGGAAUAUUUGUUUAAAGUAAUUCUAUCGCUGAUAGAUAGGCAUGCGUCCCUACUUAAGG
rnacentral:rRNA from 1 species